GGAGAGAACGCAGGUAACUUGUUUUUCUUUGGUUUUUACCAUAUAUUGGGGCUGAUGUGUACUGUAGUCCUUGCUGCUGUCCAGUAGUGAUGGGAGUGAGCGCAGGACUUAUCUUUCUGCAAGAUAGCAGUACUGUAUAUUAGAAAAGAAAUGACUCGCAGGUUGUACCUGAUAGACCUACUUAAAUCUUUUUGCUUUAUUCUUUCUGUCGCAUAGAAGUAUAAGUUUAUUACUCUGUUUUAUUGUAAGUUAUUUCACAUGGGAUCUAUGUGCCUGGUAUGAUUGCUGCUUUAAAAAUACCAUAAGCCCACUACACUUAUUAUGAGAGUGGGAUAGUGUAAAUGUG